rnacentral:rRNA from 1 species
AUUGAACGCUGGCGGCAUGCCUUACACAUGCAAGUCGAACGGCAGCACGGGAGCAAUCCUGGUGGCGAGUGGCGAACGGGUGGGUAAAGUAUCGGAACGUGCCCAGUCGUGGGGGAUAACGUAGCGAAAGUUACGCUAAUACCGCAUACGAUCUAUGGAUGAAAGCGGGGGAUCGCAAGACCUCGCGCGAUUGGAGCGGCCGAUAUCAGAUUAGGUAGUUGGUGGGGUAAAGGCGCACCAAGCCGACGAGCUGUAGCUGGUCUGAGAGGACGACGAGCCACACUGGGACUGGGACACGGCCCAGACUCCUACGGGAGGCAGCAGUGGGGAAUUUUGGACAAUGGGCGAAAGCCUGAUCCAGCCAUGCCGCGUGCAGGAUGAAGGCCUUCGGGUUGUAAACUGCUUUUGUACGGAACGAAAAGGUUUGGCCUAAUAAGCUGAGCUCAUGACGGUACCGUAAGAAUAAGCACCGGCUAACUACGUGCCAGCAGCCGCAGUAA